GCGCCAUCGCAGCCACGGGGGCACAGACGUCCCUGUCCCGUCCCGUCCCGUCCCCGCCGCCCUCCCGAGCCCUCACCGGGACGUAAAAGCUGGCUUUGAAGGAGGCCCGAGGCAUCUCAACUUCCCCUCAUAGCGUUUAGGGUGCGCGUUUCCAAGUUUAUCUUUAUAAUCCCAGUCUUUCUGUGUGGUGUGUGAGUAUAAUGGAUGAUGCUUGGGAUAAAAACACAUCCAAGGGACGAUGGGAUAAAAACACGGCUAAGAAAUAAUGCUUGGGAUAAAAAAAAAGCUAUGGAAUGAUGCUUGUGAUAAAAAGAUGGCUAAGGAAAGAUGCUUCGGAUAAAAACGGCUAACAAACGAUGCUUGGGAUAAAAAGAGCUAUGGAAUGAUGCUUGUGAUAAAAAGAUGGUGAAGGAACAAUGCUUGGGAUAAAAACAUGGCUAAGAAACAAUCCUUGAGGAAAAACACAGCUAACAAGUGGCGCUGAUGGCUACCAACCCCCUGGCAGAUGGCUGCGUCAAAGGGCUUCUCGUCCCACAGCUCCACACCGCCCUAAUGACAAGAUUUAAUGGGAUCUCGCAAAAUAAAUCCUCGUCCGGAGGAUCUGCAGGGCUGUUUCAAUGCGUUCCAUGAUUUUAAUGGACAAACACAAAAGACCAAACGCCAGAGGACGAACUGCAGUGACCGGGGAUGUGUACACACUGGAGACACAAGUCUGGCGGCGGCUCCAGCCCAUCAGCGUUCAGCUCAGUCGAGGGAGGUUCUGCAGCUUCAACAAACACAAAGUGUUUAUUAAAUGUCACAGUCUGGAAAAAUAAGCCGCCUCCUCAACAAAACAGCCAGCGAUGUUGCUAUGCCAGUCUCUAUUUGUAGGCACGCUUCCUGUCUGCUGUGCCAGUGACGACGGCCAACAAUCUCUUAAAGUUUAUUUUGAUGACAAGCGCCCUUGGAUUUCCAUAAACACGUACAGCUUUGGGAUAUUCCUGACACAGGCCAGCCCUCUGUAAGGCCCAUCUGAUAGAUCCCCUUAAACGCAGCAUCCCUGCCAGGGGAAUGAACUGGCAUGCUGACUGAUUUCAUUUUUAUUUAUCUUUUUUUUUGUGACUGAUGCCAGUAUUUCAAGGGAUAAAAGUAUUUCUAGGAGAUGAAGUUGUGGCUCUGCUCCAGUUCGACAACGAUGAUUACUGUUAAUGGAGCCGACUUCAAACUGGCUCCUUGCAGUGGCGUCGUCCAGGUGAUGUUUACAGGAUGAGGCUCUGAGCUCCAGUCUUUCUUAUCUAAAUGCCCCUGGCAGUCGCCGCUGUUGUUUUUCCACAUUCUCAAGUACAUCUUGCAGUCACAGAAGUGCAGUAUGAAUAUUCUUCCUCCUCUGACCGCUAUAUUAAAGCCACAAAGUGGAACAUAUGUUUCACUUCACCUCAAUGGCCAAAAAGGUUAAUUUUAUAAACACAUAGCGUGACAGUUCUAAGAAUGCCAUCUCAGACGUCUCCUCUAACACUUACAUCCCUUCCCCAGUGCUGCCUUAAAUGUAACGGAACGCUCUGCAAAAUUAUUUAUAUUUCAUGUAAUUCGAGUGAGGGGAAAUCUGUUUUAAGAGCAUGGCUCAACAGCGCCUUUUCUACAGCCUCACAGCAGAAGGGCUUAUGUUCUACAUCAGAAGAGAAAGAUCCCUGGCCCAUCCUUGUUCCUCUGUAAUUAACUGAUCUGUUGCAAAGAGCAGAGUAGGAUGGAGAGGAAAAAAAAAACCCCAAACUCUAAACAUCAUUACCAUAAGCGAAGCACUCAUCACCUUUGGGAUUAUAAACAGGGAAAAUCCGUCUGCGCCCUUUGGUGUCUGGACCUGGCAGAACAAUCAUGUGUGGUGGGCAAAGGAGGAGGCAUGAUAAUCAUAUCAGAUGCAUACAUCAGUCUUCUGCAGGAAGACGUAGCAGGCAGUACUGGUAGUGGCAGCUGAAGAUGCAGACCCAGUUCUGAUCCCACUGACACUGUUGGGCAGCGAAGGCUGCAGGCCCGAGUACACUGAGUUCUUGCUGGUCGCCUCCAUCUCUUUCUCAGCAGUCUCCCUAAAUCCCUUGGCCUUGGCAGCCACUCUCUUGUGGCAGCCUGCCCAACACAGCCCUCAGCUGCUCUGGGCACACGCUGUGUUUUUCUUCUUGGAACCUGUACGACUGUGCUGCUAUUUUGACCCCUGGGUAGUCGUGCCACCUCGUACAGAAGCUUGACACGGUCCUGGAAUACCUCACCUUCAGUUGACCAACAUGCUCCAAGGUCCCUCCCGCGCCAGGUGACUCAGCCUCCAGGAUUUCCUUUGGAAGGGGGAUGGAUCCAGCAGAUGACCAGUUUAUUGCACUACUUUCAACUCAGUUGGGGGCUGCCUCAACUGUCCCUUCCUACAAAGGGCUGUAAUCAUACGUAUCCAGCUGAGGGCACACUCGGCACAGGACGAGUAAAAGAAACUCUGCUACGGAAUGUUAGCGCUAAGGAUUCCUGCCAAACCAUCAAUUCCACAGUCUGCUGGUUUGAGGAUGGGCCGCACUGCCUCAGGCUCCCAGCGCUGACGUGCAGAUGGUCUGGGAAAGGCCUAAUGGAAAUCCCUUGAGCAAACAGAACAUGCAAGAACUGCUGUCACAGAGGGAGCAGAACAAUCUCAGGACAGCGUCGGUCAGACCUCCAGCAAGAAUUUCCCACCUAGGAGCAUCAACUCAAUUAUCUUUUCUUCAUCACUGCCACAAACUGCUUGUGGGCUAACUGAUUUUGGAAACCUGUAACAUCUCUACAGAUUUCUUAAACACUGAUCCUUAAGCAAUAGGACCCAGAAGAAUUACAAUGAAACUGGGAAAGCUAGAUGAAACUCCUGUGGGACUUGCCUUUCUCUGCACCUUUUUAGUUCUAAAAAGCAUAUCCUAUUUCAAGAUGAAAAGAAAAAUGGAAGGCAGCAGCACACAGCAAGCUUGGAUUGAAAGAGUUCACCCUAUGCACAGAGGAUUUUUGUUGCUGCAGCAAAAAUAGCCUUUCAUUUCAGUCACGUGUGUUCUGAGAGUUACUAGAGAAAGGGUUAAAAAAAGUUACAACAGAUGAAUUUUUAGGAAACUGAUCCAAUUUGUCAGGAAAUAAAAAAAAAAUUCUUUGCUCUCUCUACGCUUGAUUUAUGUUGCUGUGCUCAUUAUCUCUCGAGGAAAUCCUCCUUUGUGAGCCAUCAGAACAGCUAACAACUACAGAUACUGGAAGGAGUUUAAAGAAAAUGAGUUACCUUUGCUCUGAACUUGCUUUUACCUGUUCAUUUCAGCCUCUGGUGGUGUAGCAGGGGUUUGCCACUUGUUUUCACAGGGCCAGGAGCUUCAUGCAAAGUAUUUAUUCCUCUCUGAAAAGAAAAAAAGACUUAGGCUAUCAAGAAGGUGAAUGCUCACAAGUUUAGUUGUGCACUAUUCCUC